rnacentral:tRNA from 1 species
CAGGGAGUACGAGAGCCUGGUUUCAUCUACGUGCCUUGGACGCACGUAACGCUGGUUCAAAUCCAGCCUCCCUGACCA